GGCAGACGGGAUAGUACACGUGGGAACGUACCCUUCGGUUCGGAACAACCCAGGAAACUUGGGCUAAUACCGGAUACGUCCGAAAGGAGAAAGAUUUAUCGCCGAAGGAUCGGCCCGCGUCGGAUUAGCUAGUUGGUGGGGUAAUGGCUCACCAAGGCGACGAUCCGUAGCUGGUCUGAGAGGAUGAUCAGCCACACUGGGACUGAGACACGGCCCAGACUCCUACGGGAGGCAGCAGUGGGGAAUAUUGGACAAUGGGCGCAGGCCUGAUCCAGCCAUGCCGCGUGAGUGACGAAGGCCUUAGGGUUGUAAAGCUCUUUUGGCGGGGAAGAUAAUGACGGUACCCGCAGAAUAAGCUCCGGCUAACUUCGUGCCAGCCGCCG
rnacentral:rRNA from 1 species